GGGAAUACUAGUUUAAGAAAAGAGCUGUUGCCUGUAACAUAGCUGCUCUCCUUGAGUGUGUGGUCUUCGUUUUAUUAUGAAAAUUGAUGAUAAAGGAGAUAAUGGGUAAAUAUGUAUAAGAGACCAGCGUUUCUAAUAGUAUUGGUGAUAGAGAAAGGACAGUGCUAUGGAACAAAGCUAGACAAAAAAAUCCAAUGCUGUCCUUGCUCAGUAUUAAGUUUUAUAGCUGAUAGAAUUGUAACUAUUAAAAAAAAUGAUUCACUGUAAACUCGCACUAGUGUUUUUUGAAUUCUUGCUGGAAAAUAACUGUUACUGUGGGUUUGAAACUUUCUAGGCAGUAACUAUUUUUCCCCCUUGGGAGAAUGGGCAUAGGUGAGUUUCAGGAGUCCACGGAUCACAUUCGAGCAGUGCAGGUUGCACCUGUGAGUGAGUGGGCAGCCUGUCCUUUCUCUAGGUUGAAGAUGUGUAUACCUUAGGAUGGGAUGCAUGUUUUUAAGCUUCGUGUGACUCUUCACAGAUGAGCGGGAUAGAAGUAGGCACAGCAGCAGAUCGGAGCGAGAUGGAGGGUCAGAGCGUAGCAGCAGAAGAAAUGAACCCGAGAGCCCACGACAUCGACCUAAAGAUGCAGCCACCCCUUCAAGGUCUACCUGGGAGGAAGAGGACAGUGGCCAUGGCUCCUCAAGGCGCUCACAGUGGGAAUCGCCCUCCCCGACGCCUUCCUAUCGGGAUUCUGAGCGGAGCCAUCGGCUGUCCACUCGAGAUCGAGACAGGUCUGUGAGGGGCAAGUACUCGGAUGACACGCCUCUGCCAACUCCCUCCUACAAAUAUAACGAAUGGGCCGAUGACAGAAGACACUUGGGGUCCACCCCGCGUCUGUCCAGGGGCCGAGGAAGACGCGAGGAGGGCGAAGAAGGAAUUUCAUUUGACACGGAGGAGGAGCGGCAGCAGUGGGAAGAUGACCAGAGGCAAGCUGAUCGGGAUUGGUAUAUGAUGGACGAGGGCUAUGACGAGUUCCACAACCCGCUGGCCUACUCCUCCGAGGACUACGUGAGGAGGCGGGAGCAGCACCUGCAUAAACAGAAGCAGAAGCGCAUUUCAGCUCAGCGGAGACAGAUCAAUGAGG
rnacentral:sRNA from 1 species